rnacentral:rRNA from 1 species
AGCGGCGAGUGAAGCGGCAAAAGCUCAAAUUUGAAAUCUGGCACUUUCAGUGUCCGAGUUGUAAUUUGAAGAAGGUAUCUUUGGGUCUGGCUCUUGUCUAUGUUUCUUGGAACAGAACGUCACAGAGGGUGAGAAUCCCGUGCGAUGAGAUGUCCCAGACCUAUGUAAAGUUCCUUCGAAGAGUCGAGUUGUUUGGGAAUGCAGCUCUAAGUGGGUGGUAAAUUCCAUCUAAAGCUAAAUAUUGGCGAGAGACCGAUAGCGAACAAGUACAGUGAUGGAAAGAUGAAAAGAACUUUGAAAAGAGAGUGAAAAAGUACGUGAAAUUGUUGAAAGGGAAGGGCUUGAGAUCAGACUUGGUAUUUUGUAUGUUACUCUCUCGGGGGUGGCCUCUACAGUUUACCGGGCCAGCAUCAGUUUGGGCGGUAGGACAAUUGCAAAGAAAUGUGGCACUGCCUCGGUAGUGUGUUAUAGUCUUUGUCGAUACUGCCAGCCUAGACUGAGGACUGCGGCUUCGGCCUAGGAUGUUGGCAUAAUGAUCUUAAGUCGCCCGUCUUGA